UAAUCUUCGACACGUCGUCUCUCCCAGUUUUAAAAUGCUUACGUCUAUCCGAUGACUCGGUUACGUUAGAGCUGCGUCGUGAUCCCAAAUUGAAGGCGCGACUCAAAGAACAGGUGGCCAAUACGAAAAAUCCCCAUUACGAAGACAUCGAACCAUCACCGCACAUUUACGACUACAAAGCAGCCAGUUGUCGAUCGCCCACUUCACACCAUCGCUCGUUGUCGCUGCAGGACUCUUACGAACCGCCACACAACAGCAACUCCAAUUCAUCGUCUUCGCCUGCGAUACGUUACGCCAAAUCGCCCACGCACUUGCCACACCGUCAAGGUUCGCUGCCAACGCCUGCGACGGCCAGCCAGCAACAGCAGGGUAAUCAUAGUCGCAGCUCUUCCGCCUCGUCAGCCCAGCUACAGUUUGGUGAUACAAACGCUUCGGUAGCGGCUGGUGGUGGAAACGCAGGUGGUGCCACUUGCACAUCGCCCACAAGUCGUCCUUCGCGCAUUCCAACCGCUUUGAAAGCACCACAAAAGCCAACCGUGCAGCAUUCGCCACAGCAUAAACGACCGCGACCAUCGCAAAUUCCAACGAAGGCCGGUCCCGCGGGUGCUGUGGCAGCUACCAACGGCAACGCGCCGCCAAGCGGCAACGCGACGCAAUCGUCUGUGCCUCCAACGGGUGGAAGUGGAAGUGCGCAUUUGCAACAUUCGAACAGUUAUAGCGGCAAUAGCACACGUUUCACGCAACAACAAGCAGCGGCGCACCAGAAGGAACGCGACGCUGAGCCAAACUCUGCGCCGCCACAGCCAGCGAAGGCGCCACGUUUCGAGGCGUACAUGAUGACUGGCGAACUGAUACUGAAUCUAUCGAGAACUUCGCAAAGUAGUAACCUACUGCCAGGACACGCAAAAAAGAUCGAUAGCUUGCGUGACUCACCACAACGUGCGGUCGUGGCUGCGCGCGCUAACGGUGCCCUGGCGCCUCGCGCCUCCGGUGAAUCAUCGCCCACAUCAUCCUCAUCGGUGGAUUCACCUACCCAUACGGGCAGUUCGGAGUCGGCAGCCCACCAUCAGAAAGAUCGUGGCAAACGACGUCACCAACAACCGCAUCACCAUCUACUACAACAACAAUUGGAUAGCAUAAACAACAGCUACAAUAACAGUAAUAGUGGUGGCGGAGGUGCGGGCGCUGUUGGUGCGACGGCCGAUGAUGCGCGCAAAGACGACACACUGUUGUUGUGUGAAGAGUUAGAGCGUGACGACGAGGAGUUAGGAGGAGGCGGCGGUGGCGGCGGCACCGACAAUAAUCGCAGACAUCGAUAUCACCAACAUCAAGCACAUUCAGCGCGACGUCAUCAGUACAGUCACCAGCAACAGCGUAGCAGCUACGAGCACGACGAAGGCGCUGACAUCGAGGAGAACGAGGAGGAUCAAACGCACUACGACAUCACAAACAUCGAAACGUACAAUAGCGGCGGCAUAGGCGGUGGCGAUGUGUGUGGCGAUGAUGAUGCCAGCGAUCGUCAGUGCCUAGUGACGCAUUAUGGUGACGACGAGGAUGACGAUGGCGACGAAGGCGAAGGUGAGGACUUUGAUGCUGAAGACGAAGACGGUUGUGGGGCUGAGCACGAAGACGAAGACUACUCUUCGAAUUCGCUCACAUCGGCAUCGGCAAAGCAACGUUUGCGUGCGUUAAAGCAAAAAGCUGCUGCUGCGCACUACAAACACGCACAAAGUGUGGUACGCGCUAGCGGUGGCGGCGCCGCCUACGAUUCGGUCGAUUGUGCGCGGCAACACUACACCGGCGGUUAUAACCAACACCACCACCACCAUCAUCAUCAUCAGCAACAGCAACAGCAUCCACAUCAACACCGCAAUCAGCAGCAUCGGCAACAGCAACGCGGCUCAGGGGGCUCGACUUCCUCAUCGGCGACGGUGAAAAGCGACGGCAUGGCCGGCUUAAACACCUCACCCGACGAGACUUCAUUCUCAGUGCCCACCUCGCCGAUUUCUUUGUCCACCCCGUUGAUUGAUAAGGACACGGCGAACUCAGUGCCCACCAGUCCGGAACCAUCGAGCCUGGGUGCAGUGGGCGGUGGCGGCGGCGGCGGCGGCGCCGGUCAUGAUGGCGUGGUGCGGCGACACAAUGGUGUUGUGCGUACAUGCGAUUCGGCUGGCUUUCGUACCAGCAAGUCGGAAGAUCACUUGCAGCAGGUGCAGCGUGAAGGUAUGGCCGCUGUGAUACCGAUCGAUAUUGAUGAGGAUGUGAAUAGUUCGCUGAAUACACUGCUCGAUACGAGACAAGACUCUGAAGACUCGCAGGGCUCCAAUCGUGAUCGCAUCGUUUGGACUUAUAACGCACCGCUGGCGCCACACCAAAUACAACAAUUGCAGCAACAGCAACAGCUGCAGCAACAACUACAACAGCAACAACAGCAGUAUUCCAGCGCACACUAUGGCGGCGGUGGUGGCGGUGGCGGUAGCGGCCACAACAAUUCAUCGCCGAAUUCGCAGUCACAUUCACACUCCCAUUCGCAUUCGCAUUCACAUUCGCAUUCGCACUCGCAUUCGAGUUCGAUAAGUUCAUCGCCACAACAUUCAGCCGGCAGCCCUGCCUCACCUACAUCUGUGUCCAGUUCGGUGAUGUCAUCGUCCGGUUCGAAGGGUGCGCUUGGCAUAGGUGGCGCUUAUGCGUUGAGUAGCAACAACAAUGGCGGGCAUCAUCAGCAGCAGCAACAACAACAGCAACAACAACAACUUCAACUGACAGCAAAUGCAGCUAAUGGCGGCACAAGUGGCGGCACCAGCGCAACCACGGCCACAACGGCUUUGCAAAUGGGUUUGUUACAAUGUCCUACUGGUAGUGGUAAUGGUAGUGGUGGUGGUGGUGGUGGUGGUAAUAAUAGUCUUGCAGGUGGUGCCGGUUGCGACCAGAGCGUCUCCGAAGCCAUCUCGAAUAUUUCUAGUCCCGACUAUCAGGACGAUGAUAAUUUAUUGAGUUCUCGCGAUCUUGCAGGCGGCAUGGUACUUAGCGAUCCCAGUGAUUCGGAUUCAACCAUACUCGUGUCGGAUACGGCGGCAGCAAGGCAAAAGCAGCAACAACAUCAUCAGCUACAACAGCAAGCACAAGCGCUACACCAACAACAAUUGCAACAGCAGCAGCAACACCAACAGAAGACUGCUGGUGGCCAACAACAGAAUUCCGAACAGCAUAAACUAGUGAUACAGGUGCGUGGCAUCGAUACCAGCAAUAGUGCCUCAACACGCUCAGCCUAUUCCGAACUGAAAGACUCCGAGGAUGAAUUGGCUACGUUGACGGAUGAGCCAUUGAACACCGUAUUGACGGUGGCGGGCAGUGGCGAUGGUUUCGGCGGCGCCGGUACGGGGCGAGAUUCAUCGCCACCCGUCUCAGAUGAUGGCAGCGAUGUGGAGUCGUUACAUUCCUAUCAUUACUCACCAAAGGCCGUAGAUAUGCCGUCGGCAAUACGGCUGGCCAAAAGACUGUACUCCCUGGAUGGUUUCAAGAAGAGCGACGUGUCGCGGCACCUCAGUAAAAACAACGACUUUAGUCGCGCCGUCGCCGACGAAUACCUAAAGUAUUUCAGUUUUGAAAAGAAAACGCUUGAUCAAUCUUUGCGCGAGUUUUUGCAACAAUUCUCGUUAUCGGGUGAGACGCAGGAGCGGGAACGCGUGUUGGUACAUUUUUCGAAACGCUUUUUGGACUGCAAUCCGGGUACAUUUAAUUCGCAAGAUGCUGUACAUACUUUAACUUGCGCUAUUAUGCUAUUGAAUACCGAUUUGCAUGGCCAAAAUAUCGGACGUAAAAUGACCUGCGCUGAAUUCAUUGAAAACCUGGCGGAACUCAAUGAUGGCGAAAAUUUUCCCAAGGACGUUUUGAAGUAUCUUUAUCAGGCUAUUAAGAGUCAACCGCUGGAAUGGGCGCUCGACGAUGAUUCUGCUGAAUUGCAAAAGCAACGCGCCGACAAUAAUGUGGGCAAUAGCACAAGCAACAGCCUAAUCGGACAAAAUCCAUUCUUAGACAUACCAGAGUCGUCAUCGGCGAUUGAAUACAAAAAAGGUUAUGUGAUGCGCAAGUGCUGUUUUGAUUCCAAUUACAAAAAAACACCCUUCGGUAAGCGUUCCUGGAAGAUGUUCUACUGUACACUGCGUGAUUUAGUGCUUUUCCUGCACAAAGACGAGCAUGGCUUUCGUAAAAGUCAGAUGUCCGAUAAUCUGCACAAUGCAAUACGCAUUCAUCACGCUUUAGCCACCAAGGCCACCGACUACACUAAAAAACAACACGUUUUCCGAUUGCAAACCGCCGAUCAAGCUGAGUAUCUAUUCCAGACUAGUGAUUCCAAAGAGCUGCAAUCGUGGGUGGAGACGAUAAAUUUCGUUUGUGCCGCCUAUUCAGCGCCCCCACUGGAGGGUGGUGUGGGUAGUCAAAAACGUUUUCAACGUCCGCUGUUGCCCAGCACGCAUACAAAGUACUUGAUGAAAGAGCAAUUAGAAUCGCACGAACAACAAUUGUCUCAAUUAGAGGCUGCACUUGCGGAUCACAAGAAAGGGCCUAUACCAAACAAAGGACUGCCACUACAGAAUUAUAAAGAAAAAGAAAACUACUUGCAAUAUGAGAUACGCCGCUAUCGUGCUUAUGUGUCAAUUUUAGCUGCUAAGCUACUUGCCGACCAACAGCAAUUGGAGGCUGCGCAACAACAACAACAACAAUUAACAAGCAACGAAGAAUUGGAUAAAUUUUCCACGAGUGGUGGAGGUGUGGUAGGCGGAGCUGUGAUUGGUGCGCGGCAACAGCAGCCGCCACCAGCGUAUCCACAACAAUUGCAAUUACAACAACCGACCGCACAGUCGCCAACAGCACAACAACAGCAGCAACAGGCACAGCCACAACAACAACAAACUUCAAACAGAUGGUUAUGUGGUUGCGCCUGGUGGUCAAUGCUGUUUUGCUAAACAGUGGUUGUGAAGCAAAGAAGGAGAGCUAAAUAAAAAUUACAAAAAAAAAAACACAAACAUAAAUAAAAUGUCCUUAAUUAACCUACAGUUCAUACCAUGAAUCAUACACGAAUUCGCUCGGCAUAAUGCGUAUAACACUUACCCACCAACCUACCAACCAACCAACCAACCAACCAACACUCCCACUAAUGCACAUCCCACAACUUUACCGGCUGCAUUGAUCUUCCAACAACUCCGCACCAAUCCAACAACUCAACUAGCCGCUGUUCCAUGUGCCAAAAUUUUUAUAUAUGAAAAUCGGUAUUUUCUGUAUUUUGCAACCUUGAAGCGCUCCGAAGUUUAAAUGUGUAUAAGAAUAGUGCAGAAAAAAAGAGAAAAAGAAAUGAAGGACCCCAUUUAUACAAACACUUGCAACUCCAUCAGAGAGCUUUGUACAGGAAUGAGCACACACACACACAGACAAAUAGACCUGCUGUAGCAAAAGCACGCCAUUGAGUGAAGACAGAAGUGAAAACAAACAAAAACUAAAAAACGGAAGAUUGUAAACGAACUCUUUUAAGCUGAGAAACACUUUCGCAGAGAAAAAUUCAAUAAAAUUGAAUUUCGAUUUCUUUUAUACAUACAUACAUACGAAUGUAAACAAAAAGUUAUUAUAAGGAAACAUUGACAAACAAUGAAAGAAAAAACGAUUUGCUGAUUUUUAUUUCUUCUCCCCACAUUCAUGUGGGAACGCACACCCGAACAUAAAUAUAUGCAUAAUACUUAUACAUCUACAUAAAUUAACCGAAAAUCGAAUCGAAAGAACCAAAAAUCCUACACUAAAUUUGGCGCUCCCAAAACAAAGUAAAAACAAAGAUCGAACUUCAUCAGCGCAUCAUCACAAAAGCCACUAAAGCUAAAAGCGUGUAAGCGUCUGUCUAGCUGAAAAUGACACUGAUCAACAAAAUCAUCCACCCAAAAAUAUGCAUGGGCAUUUUUAAACAGAUAUCAUUUGCACCCCCCCCGAUGCCACGAACAACAACAACAAUAACUAGUUGUGAAACGCAUACAUACAAGCAUACAUAAGAGUAACACGAACAAAUUUUACGACGUCAAAGUCAACGCCAACUUGAACGUGUGUUAACUGUCUUGCAUACAUACUCUACAUGCAAACAUAACAAAUACUAUUAUUUUUAAUUUAUAUUUACUAUAUACAUACAUACAUUUAUGUAUUUAACUCUAC